AGCACUCAUAACAUGGUGCUGACAGAAGUACAUCCGACGUGACAUCAAUGUUACGGCCACCACUGUUGUGGCUUUGGGAUUAC
rnacentral:ncRNA from 1 species